rnacentral:rRNA from 1 species
UACGAAGGGGGCUAGCGUUGCUCGGAAUUACUGGGCGUAAAGCGCACGUAGGCGUCUUUUAAGUCGGGGGUGAAAUCCUGGAGCUCAACUCCAGAACUGCCUUCGAUACUGGAAGACUUGAGUCCGGGAGAGGUGAGUGGAACUGCGAGUGUAGAGGUGAAAUUCGUAGAUAUUCGCAAGAACACCAGUGGCGAAGGCGGCUCACUGGCCCGGUACUGACGCUGAGGUGCGAAAGCGUGGGGAG